AUCUUUAUCUAGCAUAGAAAAUUGAAAUUUGAAUGUUGACUAUGCCUAGAUCAGAAGGAAGGUGGAACUCAGAAGAAGAUAGUGAUUAUCACAAAAACAGCAGAAGACCUAAUGCAUCCCUGGGAUUGAGGUAGGAGAUCAGCUGGACUUGUUUUCUGAGCCUCAGUCUCCCUGCUGCUGAUCAAGACGGGAUGUGGCAAAGAAA
rnacentral:lncRNA from 1 species